rnacentral:rRNA from 1 species
UACGUAGGUGGCGAGCGUUGUCCGGAUUUACUGGGCGUAAAGAGCGCGCAGGUGAUUGAUUAAGUCUGAUGUGAAAGCCCACGGCUUAACCGUGGAGGGUCAUUGGAAACUGGUCGACUUGAGUGCAGAAGAGGGAAGUGGAAUUCCAUGUGUAGCGGUGAAAUGCGUAGAGAUAUGGAGGAACACCAGUGGCGAAGGCGGCUUCCUGGUCUGUAACUGACACUGAGGCGCGAAAGCGUUGGGGAGCAAACAGGGAUUAGAUA